ensembl:miRNA MIR335 microRNA 335
CUUUUGGGCGGGGGUCAAGAGCAAUAACGAAAAAUGUUUGUCAUAAACCGUUUUUCAUUAUUGCUCCUGACCUCCUCUCAUUUGCU